rnacentral:lncRNA from 1 species
AGGAACUUACCUAACAGGCACAGUCCCCUGAUGUCUGACCAGAAGAGACGAAAUCGGUGCUGGGCUGCAGCUGGUGAGACCUGUGGCUAGCUUCUGUCUGUGCCAUCUGCCAUGGCUUCGAUUCACUUGCAUUUGGUUUUGCAAGAAGUGUGACUUUUCUCUGUCUCUGAUCUGC